ensembl:lncRNA
CCAGCCACUAGGUGCCCUUUGCUGGACCGAUCCUUGAUUUUUACCCACAAACUCUCCACUUGAUCGUGGCUCUUCCUCAGACACAGCUCUUCACAAUUUAUCCACUUCCUAACACAGAGGGCAACUCCCCCACCCCUCCUAGCCUGUCUAUCCCUUCUGAAAAACCUGUAGUCCUCAAUCAGGGUAUUCCAAUCGUGGGAUUCAUCCCACCAUGUUUCUGUGAUAGCAAUUAGGUCACACUUGCCAAAUUGCGCCACGGUUUCUAGCUCCUCCCAUUUAUUUCCCAUGCUGCGCGCAUUGGUAUAGAGGCAGUUCAGCUUGGCUAUUGGCCUCGUUGCCUUAUCAGACGAGACCUCCCUAAUACCUGCAGGACAAGUCUGGGGUUUUCCCUUACCACCUCCCAGGGUGACAGCGUUCCCAUGCGCUUCUCUGUCAUCCAGUACACCCCUUCCCCCAUCAUAUCUAUCGUAAAGCCCUGCUAACCAGCCCAGCCAACUUGUUCCCAAGAAUAUUUGUGGCCCUUCUAGUCAGUCGGCUCCCAUCCACCGUCAGCAUUCCUCCUUUCUCAAGACUGUGUCCCAAGCCAUAGUACCCACAGCCCUGAGCACGACACCAUUCGCUAAGCCGAUCAUUCAGUGUGUCCACCCUCUUCCUUUUGCGUGGGUCCCAGUCACCAACUGAGAGGACAGAGGAAAACACAACUUGUGCUCCCGAUCCCUUCAGAAGUCUUCCCAGAGCCCUGAAGUCCCUUUUGAUUGCCCAAGGACUUCUUUUGCCUACUUCUUUAUUUCCGAUGCAGAAAACCAGUAGUGGAUAAUAAUCGGAGGGCUUAUCAAGGAGAGUGAUGUUUCUUAGCAACAUCUCUCCACCUGGGCACAGGCAGGCAACACACCUCCCUGUGGGACGGAUCUGAGAGGCAUAUCAGGCCCUCGGUUCCCCUCAGAAAGGAGUCCCCUAUGACAACAGCCCUUCUUUUCAUCCUGACUGACAGUGGAGCAAAACGGGGAGCAGACUGACUAGCCUUGGGCACCCGCUCCUGCACGGAUGGACUUUCAC